rnacentral:rRNA from 1 species
UACGAGAGGCCCAAACGUUAUUCGGAAUUACUGGGCUUAAAGAGUUCGUAGGCGGCGCAGAAAGUAGGGUGUGAAAGCCCUCGGCUCAACCGAGGAAUUGCGCCCUAAACUACUGUGCUUGAGGAACCUAGAGGUGAGCGGAACUGAUGGUGGAGCGGUGAAAUGCGUAGAUAUCAUUUGGAACGCCAAUGGUGAAAACAGGUAGCUGGGAGUGUGCUGACGCUGAGACACGAAAGCCAGGGGAGCAAACGGG